rnacentral:lncRNA from 1 species
GUAGACGAGGGCGUUGGUUUUUGGCGUCGCUCACGGUCAUGGUUGUAAACUAUCUUUCAGAAAUGUGCUGUACAUUUUUUGCUGCAAGUCGAGUCUGGUUUGCUCCAUCUUUCCACUCCUUCCUAGAAGUUUUCCCAUCUGGCCAAGUUCCCUCUGAUUCGCGCCACCGGCCAGUUAUCCAGUGUAGAGAGGAGGGCUGUGGCCUCGCGAAGAACUCAGGCGAACGUGGAUGUUCGUGAAGAGAAAAGUCAAGACAUCUAAAUGAAAUCAAGAUCGUAAUGGUUGGCCGUUACGAUCUUGAUUUCCUUUAGAUGGGCUGUUAACUUUUCUCUUCAGCCCGUACCUCAAAACUCGCUCAUAGACGAAAUGCCUGUGGUGGCCGCCAUAACCCAUGAAAUCAUAGAAAAAUAUUAGUCACAGGUUGGGUCCAAUGAAGCACCCCCACGGAUUUCCAAGAAGUUUUUCAGGGGCUCACGUUUGUUAGCCUGCCUACUCUGCAGGUGGGGUGUCGUUUUGCAGGCCCUCAAGCAUUCAUAUCAAAACGGCAUAAGCUCUGUUGUACAGCCGCUAAACGAUUUUUCAUUUUUUUUUCGUUGCCAAUAGAAGCAAUGAAGAUUUUUGGCUAUUGUCACAUCAAUUAAAUGAUUAAGAAAGCAAGCGUUGGAUGCAGGACGC